UCAGAGGGCCGGGCGGCCGCCGGUGGAGCGAUCCACGGGAGGAAAGUCCGGGCUCCGCAGAGCAACGGUGCCGGGUAACGCCCGGCGGCUCCUCGCAGGAGGAGUCAGGGACAGUGCCACAGAAAGCAGACCGCCACCGCUUCGGCGGGGCAAGGGCGAAAGGGUGCGGCAAGAGCGCACCGCGUUGCGGGUAACCGCAGCGGCACGGUAAACCCCACCGGGAGCAAGACCGAAUAGGGACGGCAUAUGGGCCUGCUCGGCUCCGUCGUCCGGGUUGGUUGCUUGAGGCCGCGGGCGACCGUGGCCCUAGAGGAAUGGUCGCCCAUCCGUGGCAACACGGUGGACAGAACCCGGCUUACAGGCCCUCUGGCGCU
rnacentral:RNase_P_RNA from 1 species